CGGCUGAUAAUAAACAUGUCACUCUGCGAUUUUUGGGUGAAUGUGCAUUCUAACCCCAAAAACACCAAUUAUCAGCUUGGAUUGGGCUGAUAAACAUGUCACUCUGCGAUAUUUGGGUGAAUGUGCAUUCUAACCCCAAAAACACCAAUUUGAAAUAAGCCCAAUCAGAGCUUUAUCAUCUUCUUUUUAUGUAGAUGGAACCCAAAAGACCUUUUUGCUUUGGUUGGGGGUGAUUCUGGUGCACACCCAUAAAACCCCAUGCGAAUUGAAAUAAGCACAAAGCCACUUCCGGCCUGCCCAGGAGGUGGGGUUGCGGGCUUCACACCCACCCCCCACGUGAGCGGGGGCUGGUUUCGGCCCCCGCGAGAGCAGGGGAAUCCCGGCCGUGUCUGCCCUAUUUAGGGCCGGCGCAGAGGGGGCUCACCCUCUUUUCGCCAGCUAGCCCCCACGUUUUUUUCCCGCCUGUCAGCUGUUCCUGUUUGUCGGAGAUCUUAUCUGCGUUGCCUGGAGCUUUCCUGCCUUGCUUCUUUGUUGCCUUUGUUCUUGAGCUGCAGGGCACCUCGUGGAAUUUGCUGUAGCUUCACAGAAAAAGCUCCAUUUCUUUUACAGAGAAUUUCCAUCAUUCGCUGCUGGUGUUGCUUGAUUUCUAAACUGCUUGAUGUUCAGGAGUUGUUAUCUCUAGUUUUGGAGCUGAAACCAAUUUGGGGCUUUUUUCCUUCUGGGGGUUUCCCCCCUUUGCGCUCCAUUCCAGCUGCUGCAGUUUAACACCGGAGCUGUAAUUGAGCUAAAAUCACUGUGUGUGUGUUUGUGUGCUUUCCUUCCAGCAUCUCUUUCACGUCUACAGUUUUACAGGGAGCUCUGUGUGUUUCGGUGCAAGUUCCCUGCCCUCAGGAGCUUGCCGUGCCUGCUGCUGCAUGCCCCCUUCAGAGGAAUUUAUCCAGCUUUGUGGACCUUUUUCUGCUGAUCCGUUGCUUGCCCUCGGCUGCUGACUGCCUGUUCUGCAAGGAGCUCAAGGAAGAACGUUUGGCUCCUCUUCGUUAUUUCCACGGAGGACGCAGCGCACCCAUCCAAUCAGGUUUUGCUGUUGGGGCUUCAGGUUUUAGCUUGGGGUUUGUGCAGGGGAGCGUGGUGCAAUUAGGCGGAACGGCAGCUGCGGGAGGAGAGCGGGCUGCAUUUUGUGCCAGUUGUGUUUCAUUUUCUUGCCAGGGUGAGGGGCAGAAUUUCUUGUUAAAUAAUCAUUUCAGCAGCAUUCUUGAGGGGGUGAGUGGCUUCCACAGAGCAUCGCUUCCUCUACAGGCUGUUUUAUUUUCCCGCGGAAGUUUAGACUUGGAAAGCCUCGGAAGCAGCUGCGCCGUUGCUGGGCAACCAGCGCCCCAGCCGCCAUUUCAUCCGCCCACGUGCCCUUCCGGGCGGCCGCCAUUUUACUAUAGGCAUUCCACGUGGGAAGUAACUUUACAAACCCUCCCUUUUAAGCUUAACCGGCGAGAAAACCAGGGGAAUAAUUAACGUUCAUAAGGGGUACGUGGGGAAUGCCUGCAGGUUUUGCUCUUGAGGCUGCGGAAUUUUUUCAGUGUUAAAGGGCUAGCGUUAAAUGUUCAUUGUCGCUAGGCAACGGGAACGCAUUACGGCCGCCAUUUUGAUUGCCCACGUGGCCUUGCGGCGGCAGCCAUUUUAGGAGAGGCAAAACCAUGUGGGAGCUAUCUCCUUUUCGAGUGCCCCUCACUUUCUCCUUGGUUUUAAAUUCAAAAGCAAUAUAAACAAAGGAAAUAAACAUAAGCAAUAUAAACAAAGGAUGAUGGCGUAAUUAAAAGAGCCUAGCUUAAAUAAGAGUGCACAAGGGGCUGCAGGGAGCCCCUCCUCUUGGUGCAUAAGCUUGUAUAGCUACAGCGUCUCUGGCUAGGCUGAUCUUAGAAUUGAUAUCCUCUAAUUAAUUUGACUGCUUUUGUUUAUACUUACACUCUUGAGAAUUUCAUUCUGGGAAUUUACGAAACGCAUUUAAAUUAAAUUGAAGCAUUAGUGCACAGUAUAUUGGAAUUCAAAUUAUUUCAUUCAGCUUGCGGUGCUCUGAGGAGCUGUGUCAUUUACUCUCUGCCUAGGCAUUAAGUUUUAUAAUUUGGUAUAGUCAAUUCAUAGUUAUAAGGAAAAAGAGAUCCGGGUUUUAUAUCUUUGCAUACAGGUUUAUAGGGAAUCUAAAGUAAAUAGCUCAUGCCUCUUCUACGUUCAUCUCUUUCUGGUAUUUCAUCUGUUAGUUUAUAAGUAUCUAUUUAAUCUGGCAAUUUAAUUCAUUUGGUUGAUUUUGAUAAUAGUGCUUAAGGGCUCUUUGGAGCUUUGCUUUGCUUAUAGGUUUGUUGCUGUCAGGGGUUCAGGAGCAGAGGCAAGGGCAAGGGAGGAAACAGAGAGCGAGGGGGAGGAGGCAGAAGAAAAGAUGAGUGAUGACGACGACCCGAGAUCUCCGAGUCUUUCCAGUGAAUCAGAAGAUUCACAGAGAAGAUAGAGCCAGAGGGGACUCAGAGGGGAGCAGUUGGAAAUCGGGACCAGCGUCACCGCCAGAGAGCAGGGAAGAGGAAGGGAGCCAGCGAUCAAGCGCUGGCAGCUCACAACAGGGGGGAGGGCACGAGUCAGGAGUGGCCACACCUCCAUCGGGGAGCGAAGAAACGGUCAGACGGAAGGUGGAAGGUUGGGCGCGCGCGCCAAGUUCAAAUGCACAGGAAGGUGACUGUCAGAGCUGCUUCCAGAUCCUAGCUCACAGAGGAUCACGCUAGCCAGCGAUCAUUAAACAAAAGUCUUUAUUGAGUUACAGUUUCCAUUCUCAAGCUGCUGCGUGCAACUCUACGUCUCAUGCUUAGACCGGCGAAGCUCCGUCUGAGUCUCCGCCCCUUGUACACCAACUUAAUAUCCUAGCCCUGCUCCACCUUUUCCGCCUGACUGUUCUUCUCUGGGUCCCUCUGCCCCCCCCGGGGUCUCUUCCUUCCGGGAUUCCUCUGACGCUGACGCUGACUCCCCUGACUCUUCUCCCUCCUUUCGGCGGGCUUUGGGACCUGGCUCCCUUUCCGGGCUGCCUACUGCGCCACCUUCCUGUGCAUUUGAACUUGCGCGCGCGCCCAACCUUCCACCUUCCGUCUGACCGUUUCUUCGCUCCCCGAUGGAGGUGUGGCCACUCCUGACUCGUGCCCUCCCCCCUGUUGUGAGUUGCCAGCGCUUGAUCCCUGGUGCCCUUCCUCUUCCCUGCUCUCUGGCGGUGACGUUGGUCCCGAUUUCCAACUGCUCCCCUCUGAGUCCCCUCUGGCUCUAUCUUCCUGGGGUGUCCCCCUAGGCUCCCCCCUUGCCCUGGCCACUGGUGCUCCUUUCUGUGAAUCUUCUGAUUCACUGGAAAGACUCGGAGAUCUCGGGUCGUCGUCAUCACUCAUCUUUUCUUCUGCCUCCUCCCCUCGCUCUCUGUUUCCUCCCUUGCCCUUGCCUCUGCUCCUGAACCCCUGACAUCCAUCCCCCUCGAAGCCCCCUCUUCCCCCUCCCCUCCUUCCGGUGCGGGAUCUGGGUGCUGCCGUGUCAGGGGACGAAUGUCGGAUACAGUUCGCUUCCCGUGGCGGGCCGCCAUCUGAAGUCUUCCGGUUCUUCCUCCCUGCUCUCGUUGACGACGGUCACCUCCGCUUCCAUCUCUGUGCCGCCGUGCUCGAAACCCGGGUCGUCCCCGAAAAAGUCCAUGUCCGUCUCUCCCUCGUUGCCUUCUGGAGACGUUGCUCGUCCUGGGACCUCCAGCCACCUUCUACGGAACUGCUCCUCUGGUCGAUCAUCCCACCAAUACGAGGGUUCUGAAGCAGAUCCUGAGGGUGACCCCUCCGGGGAACGGGCGUCUCGUGUCGGUUCCUCGUCCGAGUCGAACCCCCGGAACGUGCUGGCUGAAAGCGUGGGCGUGAAAAGCCAGUCGUCGAAAAGUCUGCUGGCAUUGGCCUAUGUGGGAAGAGGGCAUGAAACUCUUCUUUGAGCAGAGGUUCGUCUAAAGCGUAGCCCGGCACCCAGCUGUUGGCACUGGCCGGGGUGCCCUCCUUGGCGAGAAGGUAUUCUACCCCCUCUUCCCCCCAUCUGGAGUCCAAAAUCUCCGUGACUUCGUUGAUGCGCUCCUCCCGUGCCACUCCCCCCUGCCCGGUUCUCUCUCGGAGCGGACCCGGUGCCGUUCCUGGUUCCUGAAACCUGUGAGGUGCCUUGUAGGGAGUGAGCACCGAUCUGUGGAACACCGGAUGCAUUCUGGAACCCUCCGGAAGAGCCAGCCUGAAAGCUACCGGGUUGACCUGUUCUUCGACUUGGUAGGGCCCCAGUUGUUUAUGCCCUAGUUUCUUCUUCGCCAACGACCUGGCCGGCACUGCGUGGGCUGCUAACCAGACCCAGUCUCCCACAUGGAUCUCUUCGCCAACCCUUCGGUGUUUGUCCGCUUGUACCUUGUAUGCGUGUUUAGCCAGCUCCAGGUGCCGCCGCAGCUGAUCGUGGACCUCCUGCAACUCCGACGCGAAUGCAUCUGCUGUCUGCGGCUCCCCUCCCCCAUUCUUUCCAGUCCCGGGAAGGUUCUGGGGUGCCUCCCGUUGUUGGCGAAGAACGGCGUGACCCCCGUGGACACGUGCUUCGUGUUGUUGUAGGCAAACUCGGCGAGAGGCAGGUAAUCCACCCACGUCGCAGGCUGUUGAUUCGCAUAACAUCUCAGGUACUGCUGCAUGAUGGCAUUGACUCCGCUCCGCUUGCCCAUUGGUCUGCGGGUGUCUAGCCGACGCCAGGUUGAUCUUGACGUUCAGGAAGCCCAUCAGCCUCUGCCAGAAGUUCGAGAUGAACUGUCGCCCUCGGUCGGACAGAAUAGACCGCGGCAGACCGUGAACCUUGAACACGUGGUCUAUGAACAGUUUGGCGGUUUGUUCCGCCGUGGCCACCUUCGCACACGGAAUGAAAUGUGCCAUCUUGGAGAACAAGUCCACCACCACCAGCACAGCCGUCUUGCCCCUCGAGCUGGGCAGAUCCGUGACAAAGUCCAGGGCCACUCUCUCCCAUGGUUCGAACGGAGUUUGCAGCGGUUCCAGCAGUCCGGCCGGCGGUCUGUGCACUGGUUUGGCCCUCUGGCAGGUGUCACACCUCGCCACGUAGUCCGCGACUUCCCCUCUCAUUCCUGGCCACCAGAAGUCUCUGGCUACUAAUUCCACCGUUUUCUCCUUGCCAAAGUGCCCGGCAGUGGGCGCGUCGUGCAGCUGCUGCAGUACCUUGGCGCGAAGUUCGUCUCCCGGCACGUAGAUGGCCCCUUUACGGAUGAGCAAACCAUCUCGCAGCUGGAACUCGUCGGUCGCUGCCGUGCCCCUGUGCGCCUCUGCCAUCUUUGCUUGCGCGAAGGAGUCAUCCUGCAACGCUCGUCGCACCGCCUCCAGGUCAACUGUCGCCGCCGUGCACGCCCACACUGUCGGUGCGAAGAUGUGCAUGGCGGCCGCUGGCGUUGCCUCCUCCAAAUACUGUGGCUUACGGGAGAGAGCAUCCGCCAUGAUGUUGGUGUCCCCCGGGACAUACUCUAUUCGGAAGUCGAAAUUCGCAAAGAACUCAGCCCAACGUAUCUGCCUCUGGUUCAGGAACUGUGCCGUGCGCCAGUGCUCUAGAUUCUUGUGGUCCGUGCAGACCUGCACCGUGUGCUUGGCGCCGAUCAGGAAGUGCCUCCACGCUUUGAACGCUGCAUGAAUGGCCAGCAACUCCCUGUCCCAGAUGGUGUAGUUCUGUUCGGACUUGCUGAGCUUCCUUGAGUAAAACGCUCCCGGCCUCCAAACCCCCUGCGGGUCCUUCUGCAGCAGGACUGCUCCCACGGCUCUGUCCGAAGCGUCUGUCUCCACCCUCAUCGGCCUGCUGGGGUUGACAUGAAGCAGUUGCUCUUCCGACGCGAAGAGACGCUUGAGUGCCUGAAAGGACUGCUCCGCCUGCUCUGUCCAGAUGAACUUCUUUUCUUGGAGCUGAGCGUGUCCGUGAUGGCCGCUGUCUGCAUGGCAAAGCCUUUGAUAAACUUGCGAUAGAAGUUCGCAAAGCCGACAAACCGUUGGACCUCCUUCCGGUUGCGUGGGCUUUUCCAAUCCAACACUGCUCGGACCUUGGUGCUGUCCAUGGCGAGCCCUUUAUCAGACAACUUGUAGCCCAGGAAAUCCACCUCCGUCACGUCGAAUUGGCACUUCUCCAGCUUGGCGUAAAGCCUAUGUUGCUGUAGCCUGCUCAGCACUUCUUUGACGUGCCUGUCAUGCUCCUGCUGCGAUUCCGAAAAGAUCAGGAUGUCAUCCAAGAAACAGACGCACGUCUUGUAGAGGAGCCCCGCCAACACGUGAUGCAUGAAAGCUUGAAAACGUGGGAACCAUUUUGCAAUCCAAAAGGCAUAACUCUAUAUUCGUAGGUGCCCAGGGGCGUGAACAUGGCUGUCUUCCACUCAUCUCCUUCCCGCAUGCGAAUGAGGUUGUACGGCCCUCGCAGGUCCAACUUGGUGAACACGCUGCCCUUCCGUACCUUCGCGAGGAGGUCGUCGAUUCGGGGCAUGGGGAAGUCCGAUGGCUUGGUCACGCUGUUCAAAAUGCGAUAGUCCACUACAAGUCUUUUUUGGGGCGUGUCCCUCUUCUUAACAAAGAAUACCGGACUGCCCCCCGCUGCCGUGGACUCUCGGAUGAAACCGCGCUCCAAAUUAUGAUCUAUGAACUCUUUGAGUUCCUGCAGUUCGUCCUCAGACAUGGAAUACAACUUCCCUUUGGGCAGCGCCGCCCCCGGCAGCAGGUCAAUUUUGCAGUCAUAUGGUCUGUGGGGGUAGCCUGUCUGCCUCCUUCUCACAGAAAACCUCCAAAAAUGCUGCGUACUUGUGGGGAACCGCUUGCAGCGUGCCGAGCUGCAGCUGUGACUCCUCUUCCUCUCCUUCCUGCCGGGGCACGAUGCAGUGUUCAGCGCAAAAGGAAGAGCCGAAGGUCAGCUGCCUCUGGUACCAAGCCAGCGUCGGGCUGUGCUUGUCCAGCCAACUCAUGCCCAAUACAAUGGGCGUGUCCGAUAGUUGAGUGACAUUGAAGCUGAUGAUUUCCCUGUGAUUCCCAAGUCUCAUCACCAUUGGUGGCGUCUGCUUCACCACUUGCCCCCCUAGCAGCUCCCUGCCAUCCACCGUGACAACCUGCAGGGGCAGCGUGGCAGGCAGCAACUGUAUAGCGUGCCGGUCGACAAAGUCCUGCCCUAUAAAGUCCGCAUUGCUUCCGGAGUCAAUGGUGAUUGGCACGUCCAUGUUGAUGCCAUUGGGCAGCUGGAGCGACGCGGUGAGCCUCACUACUGGUUUGGGCGGGAGGGGGUCCAUGGGCUGUAAAAUCUCUGGGGACUGCUUCACUGACACGUCUGGCUGGGCCCCAGUGCCUCUUCCUCCAGCCAGACUCCGUCGUUUCCCUGCCGUGGUUCUCCUUGCUGCGUUGCUGCAGUUACCAUUGCUGAGGCUGCAGUGUGCUUGUGGAGCCUCUGGGGACACUCUUUCGCCAUAUGCUGUGGAUCAUCGCAGAUGUAACACUUCCUGUUCCCUCUAGGAGGCUUCGCUUUCACUGCUGCCGGUGCUAGGGCUCUGGCUGCUGACUGAGCCCUUGCACCUCCAACCUCCAUAGGUUCCGCUCCUCCUCCUGGCGGAGGCGUGGAUUGCGCACGCGCUGCUUCUCUGGGAAGGAAGGAGGAGCCCCUGGCUGGUUCGCGCCCUCCACGCCCUUCAUCCCUGCUCCACGGACGUUCUUCCAGCCGCACCCCCACCGCCAGCGCCCUCUGAACGAUCUCCUGCGUGGUCCGGGGUCUCUCCCCCCUCGCAAUUUCAUCUUUAACCGAGCCGUGCAAUCCCUCCCAAAACAGGUCUCUUACAGGAGCCGAAUCUCUGUCCCAUUCCAGAGCACUGACCAAAGCGAAAAGCGGGCAUGGUACUGCCUUACGCUGGCCCUCCCUUGCUUCAGUCCAUGUAUCUGCUGCCGAGCAAGAUCCACGUCAAUGCUUGAUAAAAAGCACCCAUCCAUCGCUUUAAUAAAGGCAUCCGCAUUUUGGAGCGCCGGAUCCUUAUCUCUCCACAAAUUGCGCAGCCAUGCUUUAGCAUCUCCAUGCAAAUGGGACAUGAUGAAUCCCACCUUCUCUUGCUCAUCUCUAAAGUCUUUGUUCAGCAGUUGCAGUGCACACAUUACAUCUGCUCUAAAGUUGGGGUACUGUUGCAAAUUCCCAUCGAAGUGAGAGACCAGACCGCCUGUUCGUCUCCCCAACCCAAUCCCCUCCGGUUUGGGUGUCAGUUGCCCUUGCUUCGUAAGCACUUCCAACCUGACCUGGAGAUCCCUGUAGGCGGCAGCUGCGUCCUCCUCUCUCUUCCUGGAUGCAAGAGCCUCGGCAUUCAGUCGUGACACUGCUUCUCUGAGUUCCGCUAUCUGCUGUUCGGCCGUCAUAUUGUCUGCCGUUCGUGAGCUCGCUAGUAGGCACCCGCUUUCUCUCCUCUCCGCGAGGCCGUAGAUGCCCACAAUUUAGGAGACGGAGCUUACUGUCAGAGCUGCUUCCAGAUCCUAGCUCACAGAGGAUCACGCUAGCCAGCGAUCAUUAAGCAAAAGUCUUUAUUGAGUUACAGUUUCCAUUCUCAAGCUGCUGCGUGCAACUCUACGUCUCAUGCUUAGACCGGCGAAGCUCCGUCUGAGUCUCCGCCCCUUGUACACCAACUUAAUAUCCUAGCCCUGCUCCACCUUUUCCGCCUGACUGUUCUUCUCUGGGUCCCUCUGCCCCCCCGGGGUCUCUUCCUUCCGGGAUUCCUCUGACGCUGACGCUGACUCCCCUGACUCUUCUCCCUCCUUUCGGCGGGCUUUGGGACCUGGCUCCCUUUCCGGGCUGCCUACUGCGCCACCAUCCUGAGCAUUUGAUCUUGCAGCGCGCGCCCAACCUUCCACCUUCCGUCUGACCGUUUCUUCGCUCCCCGAUGGAGGUGUGGCCACUCCUGACUCGUGCCCUCCCCCCUGUUGUGAGUUGCCAGCGCUUGAUCCCUGGUGCCCUUCCUCUUCCCUGCUCUCUGGCGGUGACGUUGGUCCCGAUUUCCAACUGCUCCCCUCUGAGUCCCCUCUGGCUCUAUCUUCCUGGGGUGUCCCCUAGGCUCCCCCUUGCCCUGGCCACUGGUGCUCCUUUCUGUGAAUCUUCUGAUUCACUGGAAAGACUCGGAGAUCUCGGGUCGUCGUCAUCACUCAUCUUUUCUUCUGCCUCCUCCCCCUCGCUCUCUGUUUCCUCCCUUGCCCUUGCCUCUGCUCCUGAACCCCUGACAGGUGUCUUCUAGCUUGUCUUGUAUUUCUUGUGUUGACAAGGGUUUGUUAUUUUUAUAAAAGUCUAUUAGGCGAUAUAAGCCUUUGGUUCUCCAGGUUUUUAUCUUGAGGUUUUGUGCUGCAUGGUGGAAUAAUGGGUGGUACGCCAGGGGGAUUAGUGGGGAUGGGGUUGGGGAUAGUUUGCCUAUUUGUGUUUUCCAUGCUUUGAGCAUGGUCUGUGUGUACCUGUUAAGUGUUGUGGGAAUUUUCUUUAGUUUGUUUGGGAGGAGUGGGUAUGUUGUGGUGCAGGUGUUUUCAAUUGUGUCCCUCUCUAGGUGUACCCAUUGUUUUGUCUCAUCUUCUAGUAUAUAUGGGAUUAUAUGGCGUAUUUGGUUGGCAUUGUAAUAUGCUUCUAUGUUGGGGAUUCCCCAUCCUCCUUCUGAGGUGGGGAGGUGCAGGUAUUUGGGGCUUAUUCUUGGUUUUUAUGUGAGAAGAUGAAAGAGUGUAGUUUUCUCUGCCAACUGCGAAGUUGGGUUGAGGGGAUCCAGAUUGGGAGGGUUUGGAAUAGGUAGGUUAGUUUUGGGAGUGUGAUCAUUUUGAUCAUGGCUAUUUUGUCUGAGAGAGUGAAGUUCAUGUUAUUCCAUCUCUUUAGGUCUUUGUUAAUUUGUCGCCACAGGGGCUUGUAGUUGUGGAGGUACAAUUUAUUGAGGUUUCUGGUUAUUUGUACCCCUAGGUAUCUGAACUUGGUGUGGCAAAGUUUUAUUUUGGUGACCUUCGUGAGUUCUUUUUGGGUGUGAGGAGGGGUGUUGAAGCACAUAGCUUCUGACUUUGUAAAAUUUACCUGUAGGCCCGACACCAUUGCAAAUGUGUUGAGUUCUCUGAUUAGGGAGGUUGCUGUGCUUAUGGGGUCUGGUGUUGUGACCAUUAGGUCAUCUGCAAAGAGCCCUAAUUUAUAGGUUCUGCCUUUUAUUUCCACUCCCUUGAUGUCUGUGGCUGCUCGGAUGCGGAUUGCUAGGGGUUCCAGAGCCAGGAUAAAUAAGAAGGGAGACAGUGGGCAUCCUUGUUUCGUGCCUCUUUGGAUAGCUAUAGUGUUAGAAUCCAUAUUGUUAGUUCUGCAUUUUGCUGAGGCUUGGGAGUAUAUUUGUUUGAGGAUUUGUAGGAAGUUGGGGCCGAAUUUCAUGUUAGUUAGUACUGCUAGUAUGUAUUUCCACUCCAAGCAAUCAAAGGCUUUGAGGAUGUCUAGGGACAUAAUUGUCAAUGGGAGUUUGGUUGCCUUGCUGUGUUCGAUCAGGUUCAGUAGUUUCCUGAUGGGGUCUGUUAUAUUGCGGCCAGGGACAAAGCCAGUCUGGUCUGGGGCUAUUAACUUGUGUAGGAAGAUUUUUAGGCGGUUGGCCAAGAUUGAUGUGAAUAUCUUGUAGUCUUGGUUUAUUAAUGAGAUUGGGCGAUAUGAUUCUACUUUGAGGCUGUCUUUUAGUGGUUUGGGGAUGGAGACUAUUUUGGAGUGGGUCCAGGUUUUGGGGAUGGGGCCCCCUUUUAUGAUGUCGUUGAAUAGGCGGGUCAUGUAGGGCAUCAAGGGUUCUUUGAAUUUCUUAUAGAAUUCUGCUGUGAAGCCGUCUGGGCCUGGGGCUUUGUGUGGUUUCAGGUUUUUGAGGACCGCAUCUAUUUCCUCUGGGGUGAUAGGGCUGUCCAUGAAUUCCUGUUCCUCAUCAGUUAGGGUAGGCAUGGUCAGUCCUGCUAGAAAUGUUCUGAUUUCCUUCUCUGGUGGGUUAUGGGAGGUGUAUAGGUUGGAGUAGAAUUCUGCAAAUUCUGAGGUUAUUUCUUCGGGGAGAAUGUUAUGUUGCCGUCUUUUUGGUGAUGCAGUGUAUUCUUGUUUUGAGUGCUUUUUCCUGCAUCUAUUUGCUAGUGAUCUGGAGUUUUUCCCUCCAUAUUCGUAGAAACGUUGUUUAGAGUAUAGAAUGUUGAUCAUUGUUUUGUUAAUUUCUAGGAGUCUAGUUCUCUCCUUUUUUGUUCUAUAAGUUUGAGGAGUUUUUUAGAUCCUGUUUGUUUGUAGCGUGAUGAGAGGGCUGUGAUGUCUUGUUCUAUUUUGCUAAUUUUUGAGGAGGUUUGUUUUUUAAGGAAUGUUUUCUCUUUUAUGCAAGCUCCUCUGGUGACCGCUUUCAUUGCGUCCCAUAGGAGGGGUGUUGUUAUAUUGUUUACAUCGUUUUCUUUGAAGUAGUUUUGGAGGGUUUUUGUGAGACUCUCUCUAAUUUGUUUGUUUGUAGUUAGGAUGGGACUGAAGGACCAUGAUGGGGUGGUUUCUGUUCCUUCUCCUAUUUUAACAAUGACUUCUACUGGGGCGUGGUCUGUGAUUUUAAUGUUACCUAUGUUUGUUGAUUCUACUGAGGGGAUCAGACCCUGUGUGAGUAGAAUGCUGUCCAGUCUGGACACUGUAUCAUGGCGUCCCGAUUGGAAUGUAUGGCUGAUGUCUCCCGGGUUUUGCUCACCCCAAAUGUCGUAGAGACCCCUGUUUUUUUAGCAUUUUUAGUAACUUGUAAGAGUUCCUGGUUGUUGGGGGUUUCCUUUGGAGGAAGGUUGCCCAUGGGGUUGUGGGGUGGAUAUCUUUCAGGGAUAUACCUUUCAUAUUUAGAUUGAGGUCCCCUCCUAGGAUUGCUUCCCCUUCAGAGAAGGAGAGGAAUUUGUUUAGUGUCUUCUGGAAGAAUUCUAAUUGUUUCGUGUUUGGGGCAUAUAUGGAGCCGAUUGUCAGUUUGAUUUUGCCAUCUAGUGUCCCUUUAGCGAAAAUGAAUCUGCCUUUUUGUCCUUGAGGACUGUUGUGGCAGUGAAGUUCAGGUCUCUACUGAGUAUUAUGGCUACACCACGAGCUUUCCCUGAGCCUUGUGCGACCCACUGUUGACUGAAGCGGGGGUCACUCAGGAGUUUGCUGCCUUUGGGUGGGUUGUGUAUUUCUUGUAGGAAGGUGAUGUGUGGUUUCAUGGUGUUUAUGUAUGAGGUGAUGCGUUUUCUUUUGAUGGGGUUUCCCAGCCCCUCACGUUUAAUGUAAUUGCUUUUAGGUUAGCCAUCUUGCUUAUCUAUUAUGUGGGGCGAUUCCCUGCCAACCCAUUUGGGUUGUCUUGUGUCUCUCUCUUCGUGUUGUUUAAAGAACCAGUGGGGUUGCGCUGACCUAGGGUGUGGUGGGUGGGGGGCUAAUGGGAUUAGAGUAAGAUUUGGGUUAAAGAGUAGGGGGUAAGUUGUAGAGAGUUUCCUAUAUGUAGUCAUAUAGGUGUGUGUUUGGGGUAUUUUAGGCCAUCUGGCAUUUAGCCAGUUGGUCCUAGGUCUCAGCUGGUGUGGAAGGCCGUGUUCAAGGACAGGCCAUCCCCUGUUGUUUGCGAUAGGGGGUGAUCAGUGAGACAGUGUGAAGUGACUUUGUAACGUCGCUGUCAGGUAUAAGGUUCAUAAGCAAUGUUGCCAAUGUUAUGAGCAACAUUGUUGGUGUGUUGGGGUGGGGAUGUGGGUGCUGGUACGCUCUGUUGCCACCAUAGUGCUGGUUGGGUAUCAGAUUUUAGCCUGAUUGUGGGUUGUGUUAUUAAGGUUGGAGGAGUUGUUUUCCCUAGUAUGGAGUAUGGGGGUGUUGAAGGUGUGGGUGAUGGGGAGUGUGGUUGAGGUCGUCUGGACUGGUGUUGGGGCGGGGAUUCCUGUGGGGGUGCGGGGCUGGGGGGGAUGUUGAUGGUGUUAACUAAAUCUAUGUUUUGGGGGGGGGGGGGAAAUCACCAGUCCUUCAGUUUGUGGUUUUUUCCCUGGUUGCUUCAUUCAGCUGGGGUUGUUGUUGUUGUAGGGUUGUCCAUCUGUGAUGAAUUGGUUUGGUUAAUCUUGGUCUGGUUUCUUGUGUCGUAUGGCCGGCGGGACGGUUCUGAGCAUGAUGCUUGCCUGUAUUGGUUUGCGUUGUUGUGCCGCUUCUGUUGUUUCUUUUUCUUCUGUACCGUUGUCCAGUUGUUUGCUGUUGUUUCCUCGUGGUUGGGGCUGUCACUUGGUGGGUUUGUCGGUUGCCAUUCCGGUGGGAGGUUGAGUUCAAGGUUUUUAGUAGUUGCAGGGCCUCAGGUAUGUUGGUAGCCAUGUGUUGUGUUGUAUUGGUUGUUACAAUGAGGCGGAAGGGAAGCCCCAUCGGUAUUUGAUCCCUGCUUGUUGGAGACGCUGGGUGCAUGGGCGCAGGCUUUUCCUCCGGUUUAGGGUAUCCUGAGAUAGGUCCUGUAAGGCCAGAAUGGGGGUUUCUCCAUAUCGAAGGUUGGUUGAGUUUUUGAGGUGGUUCCAUACCUCUUCCUUCUUUUUGUAGCGUGUGAAGCAUACAAUGAUGUCUCUUGGGGGGGCGCUGGGUUUUGGCAUAGGUUUUAGGGCUCUGUGAGCCCUCUCCAAGUCAUCUGCCUCAAGUUUCAGGCUUGGGAUUGUGUUUUUCAGCCAGCGUAUAAUUAGGUCUGCUGGGCUUUUCUCCUCUGUUUUUUCAGGAAAGUUGCGGAAGCGGAUGUUACAACGUCUAUUGCGGUCUUCAAGGUCGGCUUGCUUAAUUUUCAUCUCUCUGUGUUCUGCUUCCAUUUGGUUUACCAGUUCGUCCAGUUUCUUGUUCACACGUGCGUUCUCCUCCCGGUAUUGCUCUAUUAUUCUUUCUUGCAUUUGGUUCUUGUUCUCUAGAGCUUCCACUUUGGAGGUUAGAUUGUUGAUUAGUACCUGCAUGGGAGCCAUUGUGGCCUUCAGUGUUUCUUCUAAUCGUGCUUCUAAUCUUGCUUCCAUUUCCCUCAGAUCUCGUUUCGUUAUUGGGUGGUCAUCAUCUUGAAGGGGAGUUACCAUCUUAGCAUUGUUUGCCAUCUCCCUGGUUGGUGUCAUCUCGGUCUCCCUGAUGGUUUUGGUUUGAGGUUGGCUUGGCGUCCUCUUGGGGUAGGGCGUGUGGUGGUUAGGAGUUGUGGCAGUGGUGAUUCCUGGGUAUUGUUGGGUUGCUGAGCUGAUCAGGCUUUGUUGGCUGGUGGCUUUUACAGAGCGUUUGGAUUAGGUGGUCAUUUGUGUCACUUCUAGCCUGUGUUUUAAGAACUUCUCUAGGGCUUCUGUAGAUGCCUCAGCGGUGCCACCGAGGCAGGGGGGGGCAGGUAAGCAGAGAUGGGUAGACUAAUGGACAGACAGUUCAUAUAAAGGGAGGGGGGUUAGCAAGUAGAGAUGCAAGAGAUUAGAGGGGUGGGGCCAGGGAAAUAUGUGUUUAGGAGGGGUUGUAUAUGCCCAAAAGGGGUAUUGGGGUCCAGUUAAGGUGGAAGUUGGGGUUGGGAGUGCGCUCAGAAACAGAGACAGACAAAUAGGCUAUAUGUAAAGGGUGGAGGGAGAAAAAGGAAGAAGAAGAAGAAAGAAAGAAGAAGGGGGGAGGCGGGGGGAGAGGGGAGAUUGGAGUAAAAGAGAAGAGAGAGAGAGAGAGAGACAAAAAGAGAGUUGAAAGAGAGAGGAGAGAUAGUACAGUAAUAUCAGCGGUGUUAGAUUGCAGCAGUAGUUUUAGCUAUAGUAUGAGGGGGGCAAAUUAUGAUAGGGUGAUAUGAAUGUGUGUAUGUGUUUCCUUUAGGGGAAGGGGGGGAUGGAGAGAGGGAGGAGGGAGAGAAAAGGAGAGGAGGAGGGGGAAGGGUGGGAAAAGGAAGGAGAAGAAAAGAGAGGGGGAGAGGGGAGGGAGGGUGAGCUGCUGCAAUGGUAUGGGGGAAAGUCUUAUUUUAAAAGAGGGGGUGGGGGGAGGGGGGAAAGGGCUCCCCUCUCAAAAACAAACUGACGAACAGGCUACACAGGGGGUUUUGAUUUUAAAAAAUAAAAGGGAUAGAAAACAAAAUUGGGGAUGGAAAAUGAAAGGUGGGAUAAAAGGGAAAAAUGAGGAGGGGUGAAGAGAGAGAGGGGAGAGCAAAAAGGGAGAGAAAAAUAAAAAAGGGGGAAGUUGUGGGGGAGAGUAUCAAUAGCAAUAGCAGUGAUAUGGAGGAAAUUUUUGUUUUAAAAGAGAGUGGUGGUCGUAGCUGGGGGUGAAAGAUUCCCCCCUCAAGAACAAGCCAACAAAUAGAAAAGAAAGGGCUUUAAAAAGAGAAAGGGGGGGGGAAUUGUAUGUUUUUUUAAAAAUAAUAAUAAUAAUAAUAAUAAUAUUUUCCCCUAAUUAUUGUUAUUAUUUUUUGUUUGUAAAAAAGUAAUUAAAAAUGUACAGGUAAAAGAUAAAAAUGAGAAUUAAAGGUAAAAAAAAGGGGGGUUGUCUUUAGAUAGAUAGAUGGAUAGAUAGAGCUUUUUAUUUUAUUUUUUUAAAAAAAUGAGUAAAGUAUAGGUAAAAGAGGAUAGGUAAAAGAGAGUGGAAUGUCAGGGGCGAAGUGGCAGUCCCAGGAAAUGGCCUGUGAUGGUUCAGGCCUGUUUUCUGGGUACUGCCAUUUUAAUUCUUAAGAGGGGAGUUUGAGGUGGAAAUAAAAUGAGGUUUAAAUUGAGUGUGUGUGUGUGUGUGUGGAAAAGUGUGUCUUUAAAUAGUGUGUAGAAAAGAAAUAAAAAUAAAGAUUCAAAUAAGGGGUGGCUGCAGCAGCAGUGGCCCCUCUUUUAAAAAGAAAAAUGAUAAAAGUAGGUAUAUGGGGGGGGAAUAAAAAAGAUUUUUUUUAAAAAAAAAAAGGGGAGAGGGGGAGGAAGGGGUUAAAAGGGAUUUUUUUAAAAAAAAAAAGGAAAAAAGAAGGGGGUAGUUUCUUCCUUUCUGCAAUAGAUCUCCUUUGUCAUGCGGCUUUCCUCUGUUUCCCUUGCUGCUGGAGGCCACGUGUUUCUUCGGAGCCUCUCUUGCCUUCCCGUGCUCACCUACCUCCCCUCUUCUUUCCCGUCGGCAGAGAUGGGGGCAGCAGUGGUAAAGUUGGGGUUCCUUUUUCUUUCUUUUUCUUCCUCUCUCCCCCUUUUUUUCGCCCUCUUUGCGUUAGCUCCACUGUCCUCCUGGUUUUGGAGCUCCUCUCGGCUGUUGGGGGGGUGGUCGGGUGCCUUUCCGGCUCAAUCAAGGUCGUGGGGGGGUGUUUUGGCUCCUUUGAUAGGCGCCCCAGGCACCCCCGAUUCCUCUCCGCUGGCAGUGCUGGCGGCAGCAGUCCUGGGGGUCCGGGAAUCGGCCAGACAGAGCCUUUUACUCUGGCUGGCUUCAGGAGCUCUUUUCUGCUGUUGCAGCCGCCAUGCUGCCUCGCCGGAAGUCCUGGUGUCUCGUGUCUUUAUUUAUCCUGGUGGGGGGCGGGAACUCGCCACGCAAAGCCACUUCCGGCCUGCCCAGGGGAAUCCCGGCCGUGUCUGCCCUAUUUAGGGCCGGCGCAGAGGGGGCUCACCCUCUUUUCGCCAGCUAGCCCCCACGUUUUCCCGCCCUCCCUCCCUUUAGUUAGGCUUUAGGUAGGUCUCUGACUUUGCUAUGGACUUCGGUCUGUCGCCGCAUGGGGCAUGGUAGGAAUUUUUCCCAAUGGGCAAUUUACAGCCAUUUGGUUUUUUGCCUACCUCGUAGCAACUUGUCACAACUCUUCGGCAUUGGCGGUAGGCAUUGGUAAGAAGGGGUUAAGAGGAUGUGUGCGGGGGGAGGAAUGCCAUCACCUCCCCCCAGUGAGCGAAGGGUGGUCCGUUAAAGGACUCCGGGGAGCGUGGCCCUGUCCGAAGCCUAUGGAGGUGUGGGCCAAAGGCACGCCCCCGAGCGGUGACCCGGGGGAGCUCCUAGUCGACGUGCCUCGGCAGGAGACUCCCCCGAUAUAGUGUUAACCCUUCCCCGUGUCUCCAGCAAAUGGGCUGGAGCCGGAUAGUCGUUAGGGCCAAUGCCCCUCAUUCCUGAAUUCAAUAAAGUUGUGGCCUAAUUCGCCCAUUUAACCUUAAACCAUGGUGUCUCGUGUCUUUAUUUAUCCUGGUGGGGGGCAGGAACUCGCCACGCAAUCAAAGCUUAUUUGUCGCAUAUGGAAGCGAAAAGACAAUGCUGUGUUAUUUUGGUCUCAUUACACACACAUUGAGAUUUCUGGAUCAACGUGCAUUAACACCAAAGAACACGACGAAUUAAGCGAAAUCAAAGAUUCUUCGUUCUAUGUAGCUGGAACCCAAAAGAACCUAUUUAGCUUUGUUUAGGCUUAUUACAAUUCGCUUUGCUAAUUGUGCGUGAAUGAACACCGAAAAAACAAUACAAGCUUAUUCGUCCACUUUCUAUUGAGAUGGAACCAAAGCACCUAUGCUUGGUUUGGGCUGAUAACAAACAUGUCACUCUGCGAUUUUUGGGUGAAUGUGCCUUCUAACCCCAAAAACACCAAUUUGAAAUGAGCCCAAUCAGAGCUUUAUAAUUUUCUUUUUAUGUAGAUGGAACCCAAAAGACCUUUUUGCUUUGGUUGGGGGUGAUUCUGGUGCACCCUGGGUAUAAAACCCCAUGCGAAUUGAAAUAAGCACAAUCAAAGCUUAUUUGUCUUCUUUCUACGCAUAUGGAAGCGAAAAGACAAUGUUGUGUUAUUUUGGUCUCAUUACACACACUUUGCGAUUUCUGGGUCAAUGUGCAUUAACACCAAAGAACAUGACUUGAAAUACGCGAAAUCCAAGAUUCUUCGUUCUAUGUAGCUGGAACCCAAAAGAACCUGUUUGGCUUUGUUUAGGCUUAUUACACUUCGCAUUUCUAUUUGUGGGGAUUGAACACCGAAAGAACAAUGCAAGCUUAUUUGUCCUCUUUCUAUUGAGAAGGAACCAAAACACCUAUGCUUGGUUUGGGCUGAUAACAAACAUGUCACUCUGCGAUUUUUGGGUGAAUGUGCCUUCUAACCCCAAAAACACCAAUUUGAAAUAAGCCCAAUGAGAGCUUUAUCAUCUUCUUUUUAUGUAGAUGGAACCCAAAAGACCUUUUUGCUUUGGUUGGUGGUGAUUCUGGUGCACACCCAUAAAACCCCAUGCGAACUGAAAUAAGCACAAUCAAAGCUUAUUUGUCUUCUUUCUACGCAUAUGGAAGCGAAAAGACAAUGUUGUGUUAUUUUGGUCUCAUUACACACACUUUGCGAUUUCUGGGUCAAUGUGCAUUAACACCAAAGAACACGACGAAUUAAGCGUAAUCAAAGAUUCUUCGUUCUAUGUAGCUGGAACCCAAAAGAACCUAUUUAGCUUUGUUUAGGCUUAUUACAAUUUGCUUUGCUAAUUGUUCGUGAAUGAACACCGAAAGAACAAUACAAGCUUAUUCGUCCACUUUCUAUUGAGAUGGAACCAAAGCACCUAUGCUUGGUUUGGGCUGAUAACAAACAUGUCACUCUGCGGUUUUUGGGUGAAUGUGCAUUCUAACCCCAAAAACACCAAUUUGAAAUGAGCCCAAUCAGAGCUUUAUCAUCUUCUUUUUAUGUAGAUGGAACCCAAAAGACCUUUUUGUUUUCGUUGGGGGUGAUUCUGGUGCACACCUAAAAAACACCACGCGAAUUGAAAUAAGCACACUCAAAGCUUAUUUGUCUUAUUUCUACGCGCAUGGAAGCGAGAAGACAGUGUUGUGCUAUUUUGGUCUCAUUACACACAUUGUGAGAUUUCUGGGUCAAUGUGCAUUAACACCAAAGAACACGAAAUAAGCAAAAUCCAAGAUUCUUCUUUCUAUGUUGCUGCAACCCAAAACAACCUGUUGGGCUUUGUUUAGGCUUAUUAGACGUUGCUUUGCUAUUUGUGGGGGACUGAACACCAAAAGAACAAUGCAAGCUUAUUCGUCCUCUUUCUAUUGAGAUGGAACCUAAACACCUAUGCUUGGUUUGGGCUGAUAAUAAACAUGUCACUCUGCUAUUUUUGGGUGAAUGUGCAUUCUAACCCCAAAAACACCAAUUUGAAAUAAGCCCAAUCAGAGCUUUAUCAUCUUCUUUUUAUGUAGAUGGAACCCAAAAGACCUUUUUGUUUUCGUUGGGGGUGAUUCUGGUGCACACCUAAAAAACACCACGCGAAUUGAAAUAAGCAAAAUCAAAGCUGAUUUGUCUUACAGUGGUGCCUCGCAAGAUGAAAUUAAUUCGUUCCGCGAGUUUUUUCGUCUAGCGAAUUUUUCGUCUUGCGAAGCACGGUUUCCCAUAGGAAUGCAUUGAAAUUCAAUUAAUGCGUUCCUAUGGUCAAAAAAAGUCCAAUCAUAGCCAAAUUUGGUACAACAAGAGUUUGUUAACUGCUCUUUAAAGUCACACAUACUUUAAAGAGCAUAUCUGUCAAGGCUGCCUCAAGUCUUAGCUCACAAAAGACCAACGCCUACGUCUUCUUGAAUACAAAGGUGUUUAUUGCAGUUCAUGGUUUGCUUGACAUCUUAGGCGCGCAGCCUUACGUCUCUUACGCUAGACCGCCGAAGUCCCGUCUGAGUCAGUCCCUCCUCUGCACCAAUUUAAGAGACUUGCGCUGCUCCACCUCUUUCUCUCCUUCCUUUUCCGCAGGGUCUUUCUGCCCCCUGGGGUUUGCCCCUUCUGGAUUCCUCUGACGCGGAAUCAGACUGCUGCUCCCCCUCCUGCGGGCUUUGGGACCUGGCCCCUCCUCCGGGCUCCCUGCACUUCCGCGCGCCUCUACAUUUGAACUAGGCGCGCGCGCCAAACCUCUAACUUUCCUUUUGACAGUUACACUGCUCCCUUCACUGCUCCCUCCCCUUCCGGGAGGGCUGCUUGCUCUGACCCCCUCCUCUCUCUGCUGCUGGAGCUCCUUCCUCUGACACACUGGAAACUCCACACCCUUCGCUGCACUUUGGUGGGGAGGCUGGUCCUGACGCCCAGCUGCCACUUUGGGAUCCUCCGCUGGCACCCUGCUCCUGACAUUUCCCCCCUGGGGCUCCCCUGGCCCUGACCACCAGCGCCCCCUUCUGGGAAUCCUCUGAUUCGCUGGAAAGACUCAUGGAAUCCCUUGAGUCAUUGUCGUCCUCUUCCUCGCUGGCUUGGAAUUCCUCCCCUUCGCUCUCCAUCUCCUGCCUACCCUGUGCCUCUCUCUCUGAACCCCUGACAAUAUCAAAAAUUGAAGGAACAAUAAAUUAAGUUUCUAAACAUGACAGGAAAAACAUUUAAAAAUCAAAAAAGGGUACAUUACAUUUUCUAAGACUCUGGGGGACCACUCGAAGAAGGUUCCUCUUCCACUCUUUGCUUCUUGCUGAGGAACCUGUCCAUGGUCUGCUGCUUCAUCCGCCUUUUCAGCAGCUCCCUGAGAGGCGACAUGACCGUCGUAUCAAAAAUGUUUGCUUGGUCAUGUGCCACGUGCUUGUCAGGGUGGUGCCGCUCUGCAAAAGCCUGCACCUCAUUCCACUUCUGGCAAAUGUCCCUCAGUUCUUUGGAGGACAGCCGUUCCUCAGUUGCUUCCUCCUCUUCCAGCGAGGCCUGCUCCUGCGCAACCUCUGACUGCAGUUCAACCAGCUCCUGGUCGUGCUCCUGGUCGUGGUCGUGCUCCUCCACCAGCUCGCAGACGUCCUCCUCUGUGACCUCCAGGCCCAUGGUCCUCCCCAAGGCAACAAUGUCCUGCACCACUGUCGACUCUGGUGCAUCAGAGUCACUUGGUGCCACACAGUCCGGCCACAGGCUGCGCCAAGCGCAAUUCAAAUUCCUCUGGCUGAUCCCCUUCCAGGCCGUGGUGAUCAUCUUCAAGCAGGUGACGAUGUCGAAGUGGUCCUUCCAGAAUUCCCGCAGGGUGAUGGUGGUGCAAUCAGUCACCUCGAAGCAUCGCCUGAAAAGCUCCUUGGUGUAGAGUUUCUUGAAAUUGGCGAUGACCUGCUGAUCCAUCGGCUGGAGCAGUGGCGUGGUGUUAGGCGGCAGGAACAUGAUGUUGAUGAAGCUGAACUCCUCCAACAAGUCCACCUCAAGGCCUUUAGGAUGAGCAGGAGCAUUGUCCAUCAGAAGCAAAGCCUUCAGCGGCAGGUCGUUGUCCAGCAGGUACUGUUUGACAGCAGGGCCAAAGGCAAGAUUGACCCAGUCCACAAACAGCACACGUGUGACCCAAGCCUUGCUGUUGGAUUGCCACAUGACACUCAGCCGCUCCUUGUCGACCUUGUGUUUCUUGAAGGCCCGUGGGUUCUCCGAGUGGUACACCAGCAGGGGCUUGAUCUUCAGGUCGCCGCUUGCGUUGGCACAGAAGAGCAGGGUCAGACGGUCCUUCAUGGGCUUGUGGCCAGGCAACUUGGCCUCCUCCUGUGUGAGGAAAGUCCUUUUGGGCAUCCUCUUCCAAAACAGCCCGGUCUCGUCGCAGUUGAAGACCUGCUGUGGAACGUAGCCCUCCGUCUUCACAACCUCCAGGAACUCCAAGGCAAAGUCUUCAGCCGCAGGAACAUCAGAACUGGCAGCCUCUCCAUGCCUGACCACGCUGUGGAUUCCGGAUCUUGCCUUGAACCGGUCAAACCAGCCUCUGCUUGCCUUGAAGACUUCUGGCUCGGCCGAGGUUCCUGGCUGUUCCCGGAUGAGGUCUGCGUGCAAGGCCUCGGCCUUCUCACAAAUCAUGGCCUCAGUCACUGUGUCCCCUGCACGCUGCUUCUCUUCUAACCAGAUGAGCAGCAACUUCUCGACCUCCUCCAGAACAGCUGGGCGGUUCUUCACGAUCCUGGUGACUCCCUUGGCUGCAUCAGUCGCAAGGAUCUUCUCUCUCAUCUUCAGGAUGGUCCCGAUGGUCGAUGGGUUCCUGCCGUACUCCCUGGCGAGGUCCGUCACACGCAUUCCACCAUCGUGCUUCCGGAUGAUCUCCUUCUUCAUCUCCAGCGUCACCUUCUCCUUCUUCCUCUCGCCGGCCUCCGCAGCAGCAGCCUUCUUGGGUCCCAUGGCAGCACAGCUGUUACCUUUGUAAACUCAGAAAAAGAAAAGAAAAAUCAGCAAUUCAAACCCACAACCAAGUCCUUGAAUUCCAAACACCCAACCCAAAAUCCAAAAACCCCAAAAAAGUUUUAAAAGUUUAACUUACGAAAUGGCUGCAAAUCACCAAAGUCUUCAAAAUCCUCAAAUGGCUGCAAAAGAAGUUUUGGGAAAGCUUUAAAAAUCACCAAAGUCUUCAAAAACCUCAACUGUUCCCCCAGCCCCUCCCCAACUGUUGCAAACCCCUCCCCAACUGUUGCAAACCCCUCCCCAGCUGUUCCCCCAGCCACCCAGCACACAGAAAUUCAAAACCCAGAAAUUUUUUUCAAAAAAACAACAACAUGGCCCAAUGGUUACAGAAAACCAUAAAAAUUCAAAAAAAAGCACACAAGCUCCCAGAUUCCUGCAAACCCCUCCCCAGCUGUUCCCCCAGCCACCCAGCACACAGAAAUUCAAAACCCAGAAAAUUUUUUCAAAAAAACAACAACAUGGCCCAAUGGUUACAGAAAACCAUAAAAAUUCAAAAAAAAGCACACAAGCUCCCAGAUUCCUGCAAACCCCUCCCCAGCUGUUCCCCCAGCCACCCAGCACACAGAAAUUCAAAACCCAGAAAAUUUUUUCAAAAAACAACAACAUGGCCCAAUGGUUACAGAAAACCAUAAAAAUUCAAAAACAGCACACAAGCUCCCAGAUUCCUGCAAACCCCUCCCCAGCUGGUCCCCCAGCCACCCAGCACACAGAAAUUCAAAACCCAGAAAAUUUUUCAAAAAAAAACAACAUGGCCCAAUGGUUACAGAAAAUCAUAAAAAUUCAAAAAAAAGCACACAAGCUCCCAGAUUCCUGCAAACCCCUCCCCAGCUGUUCCCCCAGCCACCCAGCACACAGAAAUUCAAAACCCAGAAAAUUUUUCAAAAAAAAACAACAUGGCCCAAUGGUUACAGAAAAUCAUAAAAAUUCAAAAAAAGCACACAAGCACCCAGAUUCGAGCAAACCCCUCCCCAGCUGUUCCCCCAUCCACCCAGCACACAGAAAUUUAAAACCCAGAAAUUUUUUCAAAAAAAAAACACCUGGCCCAAUGGUCACAAAAAACCAUAAAAAUUCAAAAAAAAAGCACACAAGCUCCCAGAUUCUUGCAAACCCCUCCCCAGCUGUUCCCCCAUCCACCCAGCACACAGAAAUUUAAAACCCAGAAAUUUUUUUCAAAAAAACAACAACAUGGCCCAAUGGGCACACACAACCAUAAAAAUUCAAAAAAAGCACACAAGCUCCCAGAUUCCUGCCAACCCCUCCCCAGCUGUUCCCCCAUCCACCCAGCACACAGAAAUUUAAAACCCAGAAAUUUUUUUCAAAAAAAAACAACAUGGCCCAAUGGUCACAAAAAAAACAUAAAAAUUCAAAAAAAACCACACAACAACCCACAAUCAUUCAAACACCUCCCCCCCUGUUCCCCCAUCCACCCAGCACACAGAAAUUUAAAACCCAGAAAUUUUUUUCAAAAAAAACAACAUGGCCCAAUGGUCACAAAAAAUCAUAAAAAUUCAAAAAAAAGCACACAAGCUCCCAGAUUCUUGCAAACCCCUCCCCAGCUGUUCCCCAUCCACCCAGCACACAGAAAUUUAAAACCCAGAAACUUUGUCAAAAAACAACAACAUGGCCCAAUGGGCACAAAAAAUCAUAAAAAGUCAAAAAAAGCACACACGCUCCCAGAUUCCUGCAAACACCUCCCCAGCUGUUCCCCAUCCACCCAGCACACAGAAAUUUAAAACCCAGAAAUUUUUUUCAAAAACAACAACAUGGCCCAAUGGUCACAAAAAUCAUAAAAAUUCAAAAAAAAGCACACAAGCUCCCAGAUUCUUGCAAACCCCUCUCCAGCUGUUCCCCCAUCCACCCAGCACACAGAAAUUUAAAACCCAGAAAUUUUUUUCACAAAAAAACAACAUGGCCCAAUGGUCACAAAAAAUCAUAAAAAUUCAAAAAAAACCCCACACAAGCUCCCAGAUUCUUGCAAACACCUCCCCAAAACCAAGUCCUUGAAUUCUAAACACCCCAACCGAAAAUCCAAAAAACCCAAAAAAAGUUUUAAAAGUUUAACUUACCAAACAGCUGCAGAAGAAGUUUUGGAAAAGCUUCAAAAAUCCAGCAAACUCUUUAAAAAGCUCAGAAAGGCCACCACACUGCGUGCAAUGUGUUGCUCCUCGAGGUCAAGUCGCAACUGCACCUCUUCCAGCAAUGCACCCUGGGUUUUAACGGUUUUACGAAAAGGAAACAAACUUGCAAGACGUUUUCGUCUUGCGAAGCAAGCCCAUAGGGACAUUCAUCUUGUGAAGCAACUCGAAAACGAAAAAACCUUUCGUCUUGCGAGUUUUUCGUCUUGCGAGGCGUUCGUCUUGCGGGGCACCAGUGUAUUUCUACGCGUAUGGAAGUGAAAAGACAGUGUUGUGUUAUUUUGGUCUCAUUACACACACUUUGAGAUUUCUGGGUCAAUGUGCAUUAACACCAAAGAACACGAAAUAAGCAAAAUGCAAGAUUCUUCUUUCUAUGUUGCUGCACCCGAAAACAACCUGUUUGGCUUUGUUUAGGCUUAUUACAGUUUGCUUUGCUAUUGGUGGGGGACUGAACACCAAAAGAACAAUGCAACUUUAUUCGUCCUCUUUCUAUUGAGAUGGAACCAAAACACUUAUGCUUGGUUUGGUCUGAUAAUAAACAUGUCACUCUGCGAUUUUUGUGUGAAUGUGCAUUCUAAACCCAAAAACACCAAUUUGAAAUAAGCCCAAUCAGAGCUUUAUCAUCUUCUUUUUAUGUAGCUGGAACCCAAAAGACCUUUUUGCUUUGGCUGGGGGUCAUUCUGGUGCACACCCAUAAAACCCCAUGCGAAUUGAAAUAAGCACAAAGCUACUUCCGGCCUGCCCAGGAGGUGGGGUUGCGGGCUUCACGCCCACCCCCCACGUGAGCGGGGGCUGGUUUCAGCCCCCGCGAGAGCAGGGGAAUCCCGGCCGUGUCUGCCCUAUUUAGGGCCGGCGCAGAGGGGGCUCACCCUCUUUUCGCCAGCUAGCCCCCACGUUUGUUUCCCGCAUAUCAGCUGUUCCUGUUUGUCGGAGAUCUUAUCUGCGUUGCCUGGAGCUUUCCUGCCUUGCUUCUUUGUUGCCUUUGUUCUUGAGCUGCAGGGCACCUCGUGGAAUUUGCUGUAGCUUCACAGAAAAAGCUCCCUUUCUUUUACAGAGAAUUUCCAGCAUUCGCUGCUGGUGUUGCUUGAUUUCUAAACUGCUUGAUGUUCAGGAGUUGUUAUCUCUAGUUUUGGAGCUGAAACCAAUUUGGGGCUUUUUUCCUUCUGGGCUCCCUUUUUCCCUUUGCGCUCCAUUCCAGCUGCUGCAGUUUAACACCGGAGCUGUAAUUGAGCUAAAAUCACUGUGUGUGUGUUUGUGUGCUUUCCUUCCAGCAUCUCUUUCACGUCUACAGUUUUACAGGGAGCUCUGUGUGUUUCGGUGCAAGUUCCCUGCCCUCAGGAGCUUGCCGUGCCUGCUGCUGCAUGCCCCCUUCAGAGGAAUUUAUCUAGCUUUGUGGAGCUUUUUCUGCUGAUCCGUUGCUUGCCCUCGGCUGCUGACUGCCUGUUCUGCAAGGAGCUCAAGGAAGAACGUUUGGCUCUGUAGCAGGAACCCCCCACCCCAAUCAUUCAGUUUGUACAAACUUCACACACUCACACUCACACACUACAUAUGCCACACUUCUGUUAUAAAUUCAUAGAAAAAUCAACCAUACAUCGGAUUUGCACUGUUCCAUUUUUAUUUUACUCCAUAUGACAAGGACUAUCAAAGGGGGGUGGCUUGGUUCUGGUCAGCCAUAAUCCCUUCACCAUCCCAGCACAUCCACAGGAGCCCUGCCCAG